UACGGAGGGUGCAAGCGUUGUCCGGAUUUACUGGGUGUAAAGGGCGUGUAGGCGGGAAGAUGUGUCGGGAGUGAAAUCGUACGGCUUAACCGUAGCAAUUGCUUCCGAAACUGUUUUUCUUGAAUGCUGCAGAGGCGAAUGGAAUUCCAGGUGUAGCGGUGGAAUGCGUAGAUAUCUGGAAGAACACCAGUGGCGAAGGCGGUUCGCUGGGCAGUGAUUGACGCUGAGGCGCGAAAGUGUGGGGAGCAAACAGG
rnacentral:rRNA from 1 species